rnacentral:rRNA from 11 species
UCAAGUGAGAACCUUGAAGACUGAAGUGGAGAAAGGUUCCAUGGAAACAGCAGUUGGACAUGGGUUAGUCGAUCCUAAGAGAUAGGGAAGCUCCGUUUUAAAGUGCAUGAUUAUCCAUGCCACCCAUCGAAAGGGAAUCCGGUUAAGAUUCCGGAACCAGGACAUGGAUCUUUGACGGUAACGUAAAUGAAGUUGGUGACGCUGGCUAGGGCCCUGGGAAGAGUUAUCUUUUCUCCUUGACUAUCUAUAACCUUGAAAUCGGAUUAUCCGGAGCUAAGGUUCAAUGGCGGGCAGAGUACAACACCUUUGUUG